UCCAAGCGGAAGAAAAGAAUUGCGUUGGC
rnacentral:piRNA from 1 species